rnacentral:tRNA from 1 species
GCAGGUGUAGUAUAAUGGUAAUAUAGGUGCUUGCCAUGCAUCGGAUGGGGGUUCAAUUCCCCUCGCUUGCUCCA